rnacentral:rRNA from 1 species
CGGGGAGGUAGUGACGAAAAAUAACGAUACGGGACUCAUCCGAGGCCCCGUAAUCGGAAUGAGUACACUUUAAAUCCUUUAACGAGGACCAAUUGGAGGGCAAGUCUGGUGCCAGCAGCCGCGGUAAUUCCAGCUCCAAUAGCGUAUAUUAAAGUUGUUGCGGUUAAAAAGCUCGUAGUUGAAUCUGUGUGUCACAGUGUCGGUUCAUCGCUCGCGGUGUUUAACUGGCAUUAUGUGGUACGUCCUACCGGUGGGCUUAGCUCCUCGCGGGCGGUCCAACUAAUAUCCCAUCGCGGUGCUCUUCACUGAGUGUCGAGGUGGGCCGGUACGUUUACUUUGAACAAAUUAGAGUGCUUAAAGCAGGCUACCUUCGCCUGAAUAUUCUGUGCAUGGAAUAAUGGAAUAGGACCUCGGUUCUAUUUUGUUGGUUUUCGGAACCCCGAGGUAAUGAUUAAUAGGGACAGAUGGGGGCAUUCGUAUUGCGACGUUAGAGGUGAAAUUCUUGGAUCGUCGCAAGACGGACAGAAGCGAAAGCAUUUGCCAAAAAUGUUUUCAUUAAUCAAGAACGAAAGUUAGAGGUUCGAAGGCGAUCAGAUACCGCCCUAGUUCUAACCAUAAACGAUGCCAGCUAGCGAUCCGCCGAAGUUCCUCCGAUGACUCGGCGGGCAGCUUCCGGGAAACCAAAGCUUUUGGGUUCCGGGGGAAGUAUGGUUGCAAAGCUGAAACUUAAAGGAAUUGACGGAAGGGCACCACCAGGAGUGGAGCCUGCGGCUUAAUUUGACUC